UGGCUCAGUUGGUACAGUGUGGCGCUUGCAAUGCCAGAGUUGUGGGUUCAAUUCCCAC
rfam:Salmo salar isolate Sally breed double haploid chromosome ssa09, whole genome shotgun sequence.